rnacentral:rRNA from 1 species
AAUGGCAGGUCAGCAUACUGCCGUGAAUACGUUCCCGGGCCUUGUACACACCGCCCGUCACACCAUGAGAGUUGGGAAUACCCGAAGCCUGUGAGCUAACGUUAAGAGGCAGCAGUCGAAGGUAGAAUCAAUGAUUGGGGUGAAGUCGUAACAAGGUAUC